GUGUCAGUGAAUGCUGCAUUUUAAUUAUGCAUUCUAAAAAGAGACAGGUAUUUUAAUUUGUUCUAAAUAUACCGUUCAGUAUUUUCUCUUGGUGUCCGCAAGUUUUUUGUGUCUUCACAAAAGGCAAACUAACCGCUACUUCCUAUCUUCUUUGUAUCACAUGGUUUCAUAAGUAACAUUUUCGCUCAGUCGUUUCUUAUCUAGAUUUGUGCUACAUUUUUAUUUCACUGCUGAUUUCAGCAACAGAAACAUCACUGUCAUUCUCUCCUGAAAUUUUAAUGCUCUUUGCUAACAGUACAGUACAGGCAAAAUCGCACUGAAUAGAACAGUCCAGUUUCCCCUCCUCAGUUGUUACAAGAAAUUAACACAAUGCGCGCUGCUAAACCCUUCUCCCUUUGCCCAGUUGGAAGGGACAUAUUUAAAUGGGCAAAAAGAAAGGGCACGAAAAGUUGUGACAUGGGUGAAACGGCUCCUGUGCUAUGAGCGUCUGCCUCUCGCAGGGUCCUCUCCCGGGGCCCCCUGCGAGCCAUGGGCCGGCCAAGGCCACCCGCUGCGGCAGCGACAGCAGCGGGCGCGGCAGGAGAUGAUGGGGCUCUCACGCUCUGCUCCACACACCCAAUUUCGGCCGUGCCGAGCAGCCACACUUCCCCUGCUUCACAAAGAGUGGUGAGAUAAUAUGUUGCAAGUCUGAUCAAUGAAGUUGGUGUUUGAAUGACGGGAGAGCUACUGAAGAGACACUGUUUUGAAGAUCUUGGCAUAGCAGAAACACUACCUCAUCUGCUGCCCUAUUUCUGCCUUCCUUCAGAAGACUUAGGCCUACAGAAAACCACCAUGUGCUGUCUGAGUCGAUAAUAUCCUCUGAGAAAAGGGUAAUGGACUUUUCUGGCUGUCUUUGAAGCCUGAAUCUUGUAGUUCUCAUAUCCUUCAUUCAAAACUCAAGUCAUUCUGUCUCUUUGUUUUUCAGGUAAAGUAUUUUUGACUGUGAAAUGUAAUGGCUCUGAUUUUCUUUAGGAAAUGUUUAAGAAAGUGAGGGUUUGGCAAAAGAAAAACAA